rnacentral:rRNA from 1 species
GUGAGGAAUAUUGGACAAUGGGCGCAAGCCUGAUCCAGCCAUGCCGCGUGCAGGAUGACGGUCCUAUGGAUUGUAAACUGCUUUUGCACAGGAAGAAACAACGCUACGUGUAGCGUCUUGACGGUACUGUGAGAAUAAGGAUCGGCUAACUCCGUGCCAGCAGCCGCGGUAAUACGGAGGAUCCAAGCGUUAUCCGGAAUCAUUGGGUUUAAAGGGUCCGUAGGCGGUUUAGUAAGUCAGUGGUGAAAGCCCAUCGCUCAACGGUGGAACGGCCAUUGAUACUGCUAGACUUGAAUUAUUAGGAAGUAACUAGAAUAUGUAGUGUAGCGGUGAAAUGCUUAGAGAUUACAUGGAAUACCAAUUGCGAAGGCAGGUUACUACUAAUGGAUUGACGCUGAUGGACGAAAGCGUGGGUAGCGAACAGGAUUAGAUACCCGAGUAGUCC